AUAAGGCCUGUGAGAUUUGCCCCGUGCGACUGAACUGCAGAUGGCACUUUCAUAGCUCCUAUUUUAGCAGCAGUCAAUUUUCUAAACUUUCCAAUAUCAAGUUACAAGGUGAUUUCUGUGUCACAGCCUCACCGCUUUCUCAUGCCAACCCGAGGAAGAAACACAGCGUCCACAGAGAGAAAAUGGGGUCGGGGAUGAAAGCCCCAGCUACAUCAGCAGGAUGACCAUCAGCAUGGCUCUGGCCUGCCCAGUCCCUGUGCUGAAACCUGGACCCACAAGAGUGUUAUGACUCAGGGGACAGCAGGCUCUGCCACUCCAGGGGUGUGCUACGAUUGUCCCAUCAGCUGGGAGGAGCUGGGGAGACGAGAUGAGCAAAGCCGACCUCACUGAAAGAAGAUGGAACUGUUUCCACAUUGUCAAAACUGUACUGGGACAAAUUGGUUUUCUUUUCAUUUAUCAGUGUGUUCAGCCCUCACUCUUCUCUGCAUACAUCCAAGGAAUGGAGCUCUAGGAUCUUCCCUUUCCAAAUGCAAGCCCAGUGUAAACUCCAGAUACAUCUUUAUACUCAAACAAGAGAGAAGAAAACUCAAAGGACUACGACUCAGAAAGUCAAAUCAUCAGUCUACAGUCUCACUGUGCCUACAGAAUUAAGGGACAAAUU